rnacentral:other from 1 species
UGUCCUCUGCGGUGCCCGGCAGCGCACUCUUACAUAUUGCCUUGUUCCUAUAGACGACCCCGGGACGGCGAAACGAAAACCUGUGUGCACGUCCGCGCAUGCGGAAAGCCUGAAGGUUGCGUCAGCCCUCCCACCUGAUCCCCGGGAUCAAGGUCGUUCGAUGCGCACCGACACCAGCGGAGGACAU